UACUUGCCUGGAAGCUUUACCAGUAACAUAAACAGUCAAAGAACACAUAUUUGUACAUGUAUUAUAUACAAUAAAGUAAGCCAGAGGUAAGAAAAUAUUAUUAAGAAAAUCAUAAGGAGAAAAUAUAUUUACAGGACUGUACUAUGUAUGUUGAGAAAAGUUAACAUAGAAGUGGACCCAAAUUGUAACUUAUUUACACAGAAAAAAAUGUGCCCCUCUUAUUUUUUUCCUCAGACCCCACAUCCAUUCUUUAAGAAAAUUUUAUUGAACCUUCCUUCAAAAUAUCUCAUCCAGACACUUGUCAUGAAUGCUGCUAUAUCCUUCUAUCAACCACCACCCAAAUCUGCCUGAGUGACUGCACAAUAGCCAGAUAUGUCACUGAUGAUCACUUUGUAGUAGGGAAGACGCCUGCAUGAUGUCCAGCACUGGAAGAUGCUAAAUUACGUUUGUUACUGCAGCAGUCAGAAAAAUGACAUGCCAGAAUCCCUAGUCCCUAGAAUCUGGAAAUGUGUUACCUUCUUUGGCAAAAGGGAAUUUGCAAGCUGUCAACAAAUUAAUGAUCUUGAGAUGGAGAGAUUAUCCUGUUUUAUCCAGGUGGCCAAUGUAACCAAAAAGGUCCUAAUAAAAGUUGAAGUGAAAUACAAGAGUAUCAUAGAGAAAAAGAUUUGAAAAUAAUAUGUUGACUUUGAAGAUAGAGGAAGGGAUAGCCAAGAAGCUAGAAAAGAUCUCAGGAGUCAUUGACACAGGAGUAAGAAGAUGAAGAUAAGUGUAUGGCCACAAAUAAUGUUUGUCAUCUGCACUGAGACCAGGGAGAUGUUGAAGGGCAUCAUGCAGAAAGAAGGAAAUUUCACCUCAAAAGGAAGUGAAACUCACAUCCUAAGUUUAACAGUUUCAUCGUCAAUCUACUUGUUAAUAUCGAACAAAAAAUCACGUCUCAAUUCUUUGAUUAGGCCAACUUGUAUUAUUUGAAAUAAAAAUGUUAUAAAAAAGUUGGUAAAAAAAAAAAGUCCAUAUUCCCAGGUUUUGUGAUAUCGACACUUUGUGAUCCUUUCUUUCUUUCUACUUAUCAAAUGUUUUGAUUUUACAUAGUCUGCUCCCAACUCUCUCUUCUUAUUCUUACACAUUCCUUAAACUUUAUCUUAAUGCUACCUAGGAUGAUUCGAUCACAUUAUAUAUUGAUAGCUUUCAAAUCAAACCUGCACAUUUGAUUGCUUACUGGCCUAGUUCUAAUAUAGACAUUGCAAAAUACUCCAAAUAUGACUCUGUUUUCCAAUUUUCACCAUUGUUUUUUAUCCCAAUGAAUUGCAACAUCAUCUCUUUAUAUAUUUCCAAGUUAGAAACCAUAACCCCUUAUUUAUUUUCUUUCUUCCUCAUACUCUGAAAUUGAGCAAUUAUAAUUCUGUCUAUACUGCCUUCUAAAUAACUCUUAAAACCCAUGUAAGUUAUUCCCUUCCAUCUCUAUUGACACUUUACUAAACUAGUCCACUGUCAUUGAAUUCUUGCUACAACUUUUUACAGUGAUUUCUGUAUCUUUCUUUAGUUCAUUCUCCAAAAUACAGUUAGAGUAAUUACAUAAAAUUUAAAUCUGUGUUGACUCUUCCCUUACUUGAAAGAGAGAGAGAGGGAUGGAGAGAGACAGAGAAAGGGAGCUGUGCUUAAGAAAAUGAAGACACUC